UACGGGGGGGGCAAGCGUUGUUCGGAAUUACUGGGCGUAAAGGGCGCGUAGGCGGUCUGCUAAGUUGGAUGUGAAAACUCUGGGCUUAACCCAGAGCCUGCAUUCAAUACUGACAGGCUAGAGUUCUGGAGGGGAUAGCGGAAUUCCUGGUGUAGCGGUGAAAUGCGUAGAGAUCAGGAAGAACACCCGUGGCGAAGGCGGCCCACUGGGCCGGAACUGACGCUGGAGGCGCGAAGGCGUGGGGAGCGAACGGG
rnacentral:rRNA from 1 species